GGGGGGAUCCGAUCCGACCAGAAGCAGGAAUCUGCGCCGCGGACAGCUCUCUGCUCACCGGCGCCGGGACGUAAGAGAGCAGCGUGUUGAAGGGCUGGAUCUCCGGCGGCUCCCCGGAAAACAGGGCGCGGAGCGGGGCGGAAGCUCGGAUCCCGCUCCGGUCCGCCGGCGCCGAGGCUGCGACUAAAACACGGGCCGGGAUUCGAUCCGAGGGGAAGGCGCCUCGUUUCAGCGCCGCAGGUGCGCGGAAAACUGCGCAAAUCCAACUUUAAAUUUCUUUUUUUCUUUUUUUACUGCGUUGAUAGAUGGUGAAGUUGAUAGUAACUUGGGGUCCAAUGUACCUGCUGUAUUUGCAGAAGUGCCCAAUAAAGGCCCAACUACACUACGUGUAAUUUGGGUAAAUGUAAAUCAAUUGGGCAGUUUGGGACCCAGUGAGAACUCUGGGUUUUACUUACAGAUUCAUCUUAGAUUCACUCACUUUGCUUUUGCUCUAUCCUGUAUCUCUACAGCUGAUCCCUGCAAAUAAGAAUGUGGAUAAAAUGAGGUGGAUUUACCCUCCACCCAAAUUGAGCCACAGUCUACACGGGGACGCCGACUGAGAGCCUGAUGAAAAGCAAUAAAACAUGAUCUUAAUUCAUGCCACAAGAGUUCAACGGCAGUGAACCACAGUCUCUUAAAAUCCUGUGAUUCAUAGCACAUCCUGACCUUACCCAUGGCAGAUGACCUCUUAAGUAGUUCAUACACUGCCCAAAUAAUUAGAAAAUAAGUUCCCGUCAAGCAUGCAGUUCGCUGAAGCCCAAAGGCACGCAGAGGUCAACAUCUGUAUCUUGAAUCCAGAAGAUGAUGUCACAUCGUGGCUGGAAAUCAGAAGGACAGCGGAUGAUGGAGGAGCAGAGGUCGUAAACAUCCUCGUGUGUUGUGGUACAGGAUUAAAAGACCCAUCGUCCAAGGUGAAAAAGACAUUUGCGUCGCUCCCCUUUCAGAGGAGAGCUCUUCGUUUGUUGGAAGGCUUUCUUUAAACAACCCCUUGCUUGUAGCUAAAUGGAGCGUCAUUACGACGGCGAAGAAAACAAGGGCCCGUAUUCUCCUCCAGCUUGUGACGAGGCUUUGGGGAGAAGGGAAGGGGAAGGCUGGCUUGUUAGGAAACACUGCGUGCCCCAAUAAAACACUCAGACCCACGGAACAGCUCCCCCCACUGGUUUAAGUAAUCCACGACGUAUUAAUCAUGAACAUUUCCCCCCCGGUUCCUGCAGACUCGGAUUCCUUGUUAUCGGCCCUGAACACAUCUCAAGGAAACUCUAGGACACUUAGCGCAGUUAAGAAGGACUGUGGAGAAGAAGGCAUGCGUAGAAAUACUGCCGUGCUCCCCAGUGGGCCGUAGGGGGCAGACGGGCGAAUUGCACGUGAGAGGAAAGACACAUCGAUUCAAAGGGUUUAAGCAAAUGAGUGUUGAUGCGAGUGAGAUUCUUUGGGAUCCAUAAGUUGGACAAUGAGCAAGAAUGUCCAUGUGUGACGUAUUAUAUGAUGUGGUGUCAUAACUGGUUUAGUUUGUCUUUACUGAUGACCAAUGACUAACCUAUGAUGAGCUAAAAAAUCAGUUUUAUAUUUUCUCCUUUUUUUUUAAAAGUCAUCAUGAAAACCUUUUAAAAAGCAUUUGCAUUGUGUAGCAAAGCUUUUAUGGUAUCUAAUGUAAAGACUAUCCUAAACAUGUUGCACCUCUCUUUCAGAAAAUAGCUUUUCUAUGCAACGAUUGUGAUUAAAAAAGCAAAUAAGCUUUUCUACA